rnacentral:rRNA from 1 species
UAGAUACCCGUCUAUUCACGACAUAAAAUAAAGUUGGAUAUUACGAACCACAGUUUAAAAUUCAAAGAUUUUGGCGGUGUCUUAUAAAACCAGGGGAACCUGUCUCAUAACUCGAUAAUCCACGCAUACUCAACCUUCUCUUGAACCCAGCAUGUGUACUGCCGUUGUAAGCACACCUCUAAAAGAAUGAGUGUGCCACUAUGACCUCAUAUACAUCAGGUCAAAGUGCAGCCAAUAAGAAGGUGAUGAUGGGUUACAACCCCAAAAUAGACUAUCAACCAAGAAAUUAAAAAUCUUACGAAAGUGGACUUGGCCGUAAUUAACUUAAAGUUAAAAAAAUGAAUAAAAAUCUAAGACAUGCACACAUCGCCCGUCACUCUACCCUAAAGGGUAGAUAAGUCGU